CAGGCUUAACACAUGCAAGUCGAGGGGCAGCAUUUUAGUUUGCUUGCAAACUGAAGAUGGCGACCGGCGCACGGGUGAGUAACACGUAUCCAACCUGCCGAUAACUCCGGGAUAGCCUUUCGAAAGAAAGAUUAAUACCGGAUAGCAUACGAAUAUCGCAUGAUAUUUUUAUUAAAGAAUUUCGGUUAUCGAUGGGGAUGCGUUCCAUUAGUUUGUUGGCGGGGUAACGGCCCACCAAGACUACGAUGGAUAGGGGUUCUGAGAGGAAGGUCCCCCACAUUGGAACUGAGACACGGUCCAAACUCCUACGGGAGGCAGCAGUGAGGAAUAUUGGUCAAUGGGCGCGAGCCUGAACCAGCCAAGUAGCGUGAAGGAUGAAGGCUCUAUGGGUCGUAAACUUCUUUUAUAUGGGAAUAAAGUUUUCCACGUGUGGAAUUUUGUAUGUACCAUAUGAAUAAGGAUCGGCUAACUCCGUGCCAGCAGCCGCGGUAAUACGGAGGAUCCGAGCGUUAUCCGGAUUUAUUGGGUUUAAAGGGAGCGUAGGUGGAUUGUUAAGUCAGUUGUGAAAGUUUGCGGCUCAACCGUAAAAUUGCAGUUGAAACUGGCAGUCUUGAGUACAGUAGAGGUGGGCGGAAUUCGUGGUGUAGCGGUGAAAUGCUUAGAUAUCACGAAGAACUCCGAUUGCGAAGGCAGCUCACUAGACUGUCACUGACACUGAUGCUCGAAAGUGUGGGUAUCAAACAGGAUUAGAUACCCUGGUAGUCCACACAGUAAACGAUGAAUACUCGCUGUUUGCGAUAUACAGUAAGCGGCCAAGCGAAAGCAUUAAGUAUUCCACCUGGGGAGUACGCCGGCAACGGUGAAACUCAAAGGAAUUGACGGGGGCCCGCACAGGCGGAGGAACAUGUGGUUUAAUUCGAUGAUACGCGAGGAACCUUACCCGGGCUUAAAUUGCAACAGAAUAUAUUGGAAACAGUAUAGCCGUAAGGCUGUUGUGAAGGUGCUGCAUGGUUGUCGUCAGCUCGUGCCGUGAGGUGUCGGCUUAAGUGCCAUAACGAGCGCAACCCUUAUCUUUAGUUACUAACAGGUCAUGCUGAGGACUCUAGAGAGACUGCCGUCGUAAGAUGUGAGGAAGGUGGGGAUGACGUCAAAUCAGCACGGCCCUUACGUCCGGGGCUACACACGUGUUACAAUGGGGGGUACAGAAGGCGGCUACCUGGUGACAGGAUGCUAAUCCCAAAAACCUCUCUCAGUUCGGAUCGAAGUCUGCAACCCGACUUCGUGAAGCUGGAUUCGCUAGUAAUCGCGCAUCAGCCAUGGCGCGGUGAAUACGUUCCCGGGCCUUGUACACACCGCCCGUCAAGCCAUGAAAGCCGGGGGUACCUGAAGUACGUAACCGCAAGGAGCGUCCUAGGGUAAAACUGGUAAUUGGG
rnacentral:rRNA from 1 species